UACAGAGGUCCCAAGCGUUGUUCGGAUUCACUGGGCGUAAAGGGUGCGUAGGCGGUCGGGUAAGUCUGAUGUGAAAUCUCACAGCUUAACUGUGAAACUGCAUUGGAUACUAUCCGGCUCGAGGAAUGGAGGGGAGACUGGAAUACUUGGUGUAGCAGUGAAAUGCGUAGAUAUCAAGUGGAACACCAGUGGCGAAGGCGAGUCUCUGGACAUUUCCUGACGCUGAGGCACGAAAGCGUGGGGAGCGAACAGG
rnacentral:rRNA from 1 species